rnacentral:rRNA from 1 species
UACGUAGGGGGCAAGCGUUGUCCGGAAUCAUUGGGCGUAAAGAGCGUGUAGGCGGCUCGAUAAGUCUGCUGUGAAAGUCCAGGGCUCAACCCUGGAAGGCCGGUGGAAACUGUCGGGCUAGAGUCCGGAAGAGGCGAGUGGAAUUCCCGGUGUAGCGGUGAAAUGCGCAGAUAUCGGGAGGAACCCCAGAGGCGAAGGCGGCGCCCUGGCUCGCAACUGACGCUCAGACACGACAGCAUGGGGAGCGAACGGG